GAGCGCAUACCUUCCUUUAUGAGCGGCGGACGGGUGAGUAACGCGUAGGUCAUCUACCCUUUGGUGGGGGAUAACCCAGGGAAACUUGGGCUAAUACCGCACGAGGUCCACGGAUCAAAGCCUUCGGGCGCCAGAGGAUGAGCCUGCGUCGCAUUACCUAGUUGGCGGGGUAACGGCCCACCAAGGGGACGAUGCGUAGCUGGUCUGAGAGGAUGAUCAGCCACACUGGGACUGAGACACGGCCCAGACUCCUACGGGAGGCAGCAGUGGGGAAUAUUGCGCAAUGGGGGAAACCCUGACGCACCCACGCCGCGUGGGUGAUGAAGGCCUUCGGGUUGUAAAGCCCUGUCGGGAGGGACG
rnacentral:rRNA from 1 species